rnacentral:rRNA from 1 species
AUUGAACGCUGGCGGCAUGCCUUACACAUGCAAGUCGAACGGUAACAGGCCUUCGGAUGCUGACGAGUGGCGAACGGGUGAGUAAUACAUCGGAACGUGCCCGAGAGUGGGGGAUAACGAGGCGAAAGCUUUGCUAAUACCGCAUACGAUCUCAGGAUGAAAGCAGGGGACCGCAAGGCCUUGCGCUCACGGAGCGGCCGAUGGCAGAUUAGGUAGUUGGUGGGAUAAAAGCUUACCAAGCCGACGAUCUGUAGCUGGUCUGAGAGGACGACCAGCCACACUGGGACUGAGACACGGCCCAGACUCCUACGGGAGGCAGCAGUGGGGAAUUUUGGACAAUGGGCGCAAGCCUGAUCCAGCUAUGCCGCGUGCAGGAUGAAGGCCUUCGGGUUGUAAACUGCUUUUGUACGGAACGAAAAGACUCCUUCUAAUAAAGGGGGUCCAUGACGGUACCGUAAGAAUAAGCACCGGCUAACUACGUGCCAGCAGCCGCGGUAAGAC